UACGAAGGGGGCUAGCGUUGCUCGGAAUCACUGGGCGUAAAGCGCACGUAGGCGGACUCUUAAGUCGGUGGUGAAAUCCUGGAGCUCAACUCCAGAACUGCCUUCGAUACUGGGAGUCUCGAGUCCGAGAGAGGUGAGUGGAACUGCGAGUGUAGAGGUGAAAUUCGUAGAUAUUAGGAAGAACACCGGUGGCGAAGGCGGCUCUCUGGAACGGUACUGACGCUGAGACGCGAAAGCGUGGGGAGCGAACAGG
rnacentral:rRNA from 1 species